ACGCUAGCUACAGGCUUAACACAUGCAAGUCGAGGGGCAGCAUGGUCUUAGCUUGCUAAGGCCGAUGGCGACCGGCGCACGGGUGAGUAACACGUAUCCAACCUGCCGUCUACUCUUGGACAGCCUUCUGAAAGGAAGAUUAAUACAAGAUGGCAUCAUGAGUCCGCAUGUUCACAUGAUUAAAGGUAUUCCGGUAGACGAUGGGGAUGCGUUCCAUUAGAUAGUAGGCGGGGUAACGGCCCACCUAGUCUUCGAUGGAUAGGGGUUCUGAGAGGAAGGUCCCCCACAUUGGAACUGAGACACGGUCCAAACUCCUACGGGAGGCAGCAGUGAGGAAUAUUGGUCAAUGGGCGAGAGCCUGAACCAGCCAAGUAGCGUGAAGGAUGACUGCCCUAUGGGUUGUAAACUUCUUUUAUAAAGGAAUAAAGUCGGGUAUGGAUACCCGUUUGCAUGUACUUUAUGAAUAAGGAUCGGCUAACUCCGUGCCAGCAGCCGCGGUAAUACGGAGGAUCCGAGCGUUAUCCGGAUUUAUUGGGUUUAAAGGGAGCGUAGAUGGAUGUUUAAGUCAGUUGUGAAAGUUUGCGGCUCAACCGUAAAAUUGCAGUUGAUACUGGAUAUCUUGAGUGCAGUUGAGGCAGGCGGAAUUCGUGGUGUAGCGGUGAAAUGCUUAGAUAUCACGAAGAACUCCGAUUGCGAAGGCAGCCUGCUAAGCUGCAACUGACAUUGAGGCUCGAAAGUGUGGGUAUCAAACAGGAUUAGAUACCCUGGUAGUCCACACGGUAAACGAUGAAUACUCGCUGUUUGCGAUAUACAGCAAGCGGCCAAGCGAAAGCGUUAAGUAUUCCACCUGGGGAGUACGCCGGCAACGGUGAAACUCAAAGGAAUUGACGGGGGCCCGCACAAGCGGAGGAACAUGUGGUUUAAUUCGAUGAUACGCGAGGAACCUUACCCGGGCUUAAAUUGCAGAUGAAUUACGGUGAAAGCCGUAAGCCGCAAGGCAUCUGUGAAGGUGCUGCAUGGUUGUCGUCAGCUCGUGCCGUGAGGUGUCGGCUUAAGUGCCAUAACGAGCGCAACCCUUGUUGUCAGUUACUAACAGGUUCCGCUGAGGACUCUGACAAGACUGCCAUCGUAAGAUGUGAGGGAGGUGGGGAUGACGUCAAAUCAGCACGGCCCUUACGUCCGGGGCUACACACGUGUUACAAUGGGGGGUACAGAGGGCCGCUACCACGCGAGUGGAUGCCAAUCCCCAAAACCUCUCUCAGUUCGGACUGGAGUCUGCAACCCGACUCCACGAAGCUGGAUUCGCUAGUAAUCGCGCAUCAGCCACGGCGCGGUGAAUACGUUCCCGGGCCUUGUACACACCGCCCGUCAAGCCAUGGGAGCCGGGGGUACCUGAAGUGCGUAACCGCGAGGAGCGCCCUAGGGUAAAACUGGUGACUGGGGCUA
rnacentral:rRNA from 1 species